UACGUAGGGUGCAAGCGUUGUCCGGAAUUAUUGGGCGUAAAGAGCUCGUAGGCGGCUUGUUGCGUCGGCUGUGAAAUCCCGGGGCUUAACUCCGGGCGUGCAGCCGAUACGGGCAGGCUAGAGUCCGGUAGGGGAGACUGGAAUUCCUGGUGUAGCGGUGAAAUGCGCAGAUAUCAGGAGGAACACCGGUGGCGAAGGCGGGUCUCUGGGCCGGUACUGACGCUGAGACGCGAAAGCGUGGGGAGCAAACAGG
rnacentral:rRNA from 1 species